AUCCAGCUGACGAGUCCCAAAUAAGACGAGACGCGUGCGGGAU
rnacentral:hammerhead_ribozyme from 1 species